GGGCGGGGCCGUUACCCGCAGAGCGCGGGAGGAGAGAGGGUUCGGUGCGAGAUUCCGUUACAGGCGCAAGCCUAAGAGCGAAGAGCUCCUGGAUGUAAUGCGUUGCGCUUCUCUCAGCAGCCGCCUGAGAUGUCCGUUAAAGCGGAGAAAUCAGAUAAGGAAGGAGGGGUGAUGGGAUGCAGAAGGGAUCUUCGUGGUCAGCAGUGAUGAAACCGUGGCAGGAGGAUGCAGCUGAACGCAGUGGCUGCUCAGGACCUUUGUGUUUCUCCUUGUGGCAUACCAACGUGCUGUAAAUACAUCAGACAUCACGAUUUCGAUAGAACUUUUCAAGUCACUAGAGAAACAAAAGCAAUUUCAUCUGCUACUUUCAGAGUAAUGAUUUCUGCCAGCACAAACUGGAGACAGAAAGUGGCAGUAGGCCAGCCGGGUUGUUAUUGAAGGUUGAGGUGAAAAACAGCAUUCCAGCUUUGUGAGGGAGUAUGCCCAGAAUUUACCUGUGCUAUUAAAUAUAAAGAGGAUGUUUUUAAUACUGCGUGUGGUGGGACACUGGAAUGGUUUGCCCAGAGAAGCAGUUGCUUGCCCCAUCACUGGAAUUGUUCAGUUUGGACUUUGACCAACCUGAUCCAGUGGUGAAAGAUGUCCCUGCCUAUGGCAGGGGAGUUGGACUGGGUGGUCUUUAGGAGUCCCAACCUAACCCAUGAUUGGAUUGGAAGUUGAAUCCAUGCAUUAUGGAACAUAGAUUAUGCAAAAUUAUCUCAGGAAUUUUAGUUCCCAGAGUGGGACAACAGAAAUUUCAGUCACUUCUGCAAUGGUGUAUGUACAACUCUGAGAAUGUGCUGAUUUGCUUUUGUAUUUCAUGAGAUAUUGAGUCUUGGGAAGGGAAAGUAUUAAGGUGUUAUAUUUUGGAUCAAGUAUGUGUAUGAUUGUAUCUGAGUCAAUCGGUUGACUAUGUAUGCUUAAGUAGAUGUACGUAAGCAUGUUUUCUCCACUCUCACAAACUGAAAUGUCACGCUAUUUAGAAUUUAUGUCGGAACUCAACUUAUGGUACACUUUUCAUUCCACCAUUCAGAAUCUCUGGUUCUAAUGGCUACUGCAUACGUUUAUUUCAUUGAUUUACCUUAUAUCUUGAACUUGUUUGUAAAAAA